AUUGAACGCUGGCGGCAGGCCUAACACAUGCAAGUCGAGCGGUAGAGAGGAGCUUGCUUCUCUUGAGAGCGGCGGACGGGUGAGUAAUGCCUAGGAAUCUGCCUGAUAGUGGGGGAUAACGUCCGGAAACGGACGCUAAUACCGCAUACGUCCUACGGGAGAAAGUGGGGGCUCUUCGGACCUCACGCUAUCAGAUGAGCUUAGGUCGGAUUAGCUAGUUGGUGGGGUAAAGGCUCACCAAGGCGACGAUCCGUAACUGGUCUGAGAGGAUGAUCAGUCACACUGGAACUGAGACACGGUCCAGACUACUACGGGAGGCAGCAGUGGUGAAUAUUGGACAAUGGGCGAAAGCCUGAUCCAGCCAUGCCGCGUGUGUGAAGAAGGUCUUCGGAUUGUAAAGCACUUUAAGUUGGGAGGAAGGGUCGUUACCUAAUACGUGACGAUUUUGACGUUACCGACAGAAUAAGCACCGGCUGACUCUGUGCCAGCCGCCGCCAUAA
rnacentral:rRNA from 1 species